UCAGUCGACUCCUACGGGGAGGCAGCAGUGGGGAAUAUUGCACAAGUGGGGAAACCCGUGAUGCAGCCAUGCCGCGUGUGUGAAGAAGGACCUUCGGGUUGUAAAGCACUUUCAGUAGGGAGGAAGGUAGUGUAGUUAACACCUGCAUUAUUUGACGUUACCUACAGAAGAAGCACCGGCUAACUCCGUGCCAGCAGCCGCGGUAAUACGGGAGGGUGCGAGCGUUAAUCGGAAUUACUGGGCGUAAAGCGCAUGCAGGCGGCCUGUUAAGUCAGAUGUGAAAGACCCGGGGACGUUUAACCUACCGGAAAUUGCAUUUAGUAAACUAGGCAGGCUAGAGUCUUGUAGAGGGGGGUAGGAAUUUCAGGUGUAGCGGUGAAAUGCGUAGAGAUCUGAAGGAAUACCAGUGGCGAAGGCGGCCCCCUGGACAAAGACUGACGCUCAGAUGCGAAAGCGUGGGGAGCAAACAGGAUUAGAUACCCUGGUAG
rnacentral:rRNA from 1 species